UAUGCAUACAAUUACUAUAAGUUAAUACUUCAGUAGCACAUGAAAACUUCAGAUGAAUUAAGCAACAUAAAGAAUUCUCUUUUCAGUGAAUAUUUUCUACACAAUGAGGAGAAAUAGAAUUAUUCUUCAUCUCUGUGUAACAAUACAUAGUAGAAGAGAUCUUAAAUGGUCUGCCUUUGUACUUGUGAUACAUAGAGGAGAAUUCAGUCAUGUAUCUUAAGAUUAUCUGCCUUUUCACAAAGAAGAUAGAGAAAGCAUGUUUAUACUUCAUAGACAAAAGAUGAUGCGUAGCCUGAGCUUUGAUUAUCAACUAAAGGGCAUCUCAGGUGAGUGAAUCUUGCUUAUACUUUUAUAAAUAUGCCAAUCAUCAAAUUUGGUUUUAUGUAAGAUGAAUUGCUCACAUUACUGUUCCUUCCUUAACUUUCAUAAAUAUGAUCAAAGAUCAUACAGGAAUUUCCCCCAGAUGAAAUUGGCUUUCUUGGCUUUUAGGAAUGACACUGAUGUUAGCAACUGGUUUCAGAUUUCUAUGUGGCAAGCAGAACACCCAGGCCCCUGGCUGGUAGCAAUUGUAGCCAUUCAGAGGAGCAGCUUACUGCCAGUUCAUGGACAUGAUGUUCCCCAGGUGUAUUAGCUUGAAGAAAGAAGAAUGAGUACAUUCACAACUUCAAGAUUCUGCAACUUUCUGUAUAGUGAUUCUCCCCAUCUGAAUAUUGAGACAUCAACUAUUUUUGUAAUGCACCUUCUCAAAAUAAUAUUAACCAUCAGAUUUUUCAUGAGCUGCCAAAUUGCAGGGCUGUCUGAGUGAUUGUGGGGUUGUUAAACAGGUUGUACUUUUAAACAAAGUUUUAAAUUCAAUUGCCCACCUAUUGUCAUAGAAGUGUCAUCUUAGAUGCCUUAGGCCUAUAAGAGGUUGAUAUGAACUGACUGACAUGGCUGAGGUGACCCAAAUAUUUUUCUGAUGGCAGUCAGGGUUCAGUUAGGGAAAUUUCUCAAGUUAUCUGCACUGGUGAUAAGCAAGCUGAUGUGAAAGAGACAGAAUUAACCCCAGAUUAACUGAGAGUUUACCUUGGCAGCAUUUCCACUAGGAACUUAAGUGUAAUUUGAAAUUUUCUAUGAUUUGAGAACAAAAGUGACCAUGUUGCAUUUUAUUAUGCACUCUCCAGGUCCUUAGAAAGCAUCUCCAAGGUUAUUAGAUGAGUAGCUCUCAUCUGAUCUGAACUCACAAUGGAGGUCUGAGCACAGAAUAAGGCAGACCUGGAGGUGAGGGCUGGUGGCUACCAGCACAGCCUUUUCAGUGUCCUCAAGUUCAUGCACAGCUCUACACUUUUACUGUCAGAACUACUUUGCAUGUCAAUUUUCAGAGCCAAAAGCAUUUGAUAUACUAAUAUUAAAAUGAACAUCCUACCACACCAUAAAUCCCUUUGCUUUCAGGGCUAACACUGAUAAAUUUACUGUGAAACAUACGCAGAGUAAUGAACAGUGUAGGGUGUUGCCUGGUUUCUGAGGGCCUGGCUAACGGGGAAGAAUGCCUCAUAUUGCUUUUAACUUCCAACCCCCAGCUGUAUAGAGGCAGAAAUUCAAAAUUAAAAAUAACUUUUCAGCUGAUUCCUUGCAUAAUUGCUAUCUUGUUUUGUUAAUACUGUGGCUGAAUUAUAACUUGCUGAAGUCCUGGAGAUUUACAUGCUGCUUUAUCAGCCUGAAUUUGCAUUGACAUGCUUUUCAGUCAAGUGAGUAACUAAAUCCCAUAGCCUUGAGUGAGCCUGGCAGUAUUUGCAUAGAAAAUCACAGGGAGAUUAGGG
ensembl:lncRNA